ensembl:snRNA U4 U4 spliceosomal RNA
AGCUUUGCGCAGUGGCAGUAUCGUAGCCAAUGAGGUUCUUCUGAGGCACGAUUAUUGCUAAUUGAAAACUUUUCCCAAUACUCCGCCAUGACGACUUGAAAUAUAGUCAGCUUUGGCAAUUUUUGACAGUCUCUACAGAGA